rnacentral:rRNA from 1 species
GAAUUCGCCCUUAGAGUUUGAUCCUGGCUCAGGACGAACGCUGGCGGCGCGCCUAACACAUGCAAGUCGAACGGAGCUUAGAGAGCUUGCUUUUUAAACUCAGUGGCGAACGGGUGAGUAACGCGUGAGUAACCUGCCCUAGAGUGGGGGACAACAGUUGGAAACGACUGCUAAUACCGCAUAAGCCCACGGUGCCGCAUGACACUGAGGGAAAAGGAUUUAUUCGCUUUAGGAUGGACUCGCGUCCAAUUAGCUAGUUGGUGAGGUAACGGCCCACCAAGGCGACGAUUGGUAGCCGGACUGAGAGGUUGAACGGCCACAUUGGGACUGAGACACGGCCCAGACUCCUACGGGAGGCAGCAGUGGGGGAUAUUGCACAAUGGGGGAAACCCUGAUGCAGCGACGCCGCGUGGAGGAAGAAGGUUUUCGGAUUGUAAACUCCUGUCGUUAGGGACGAUAAUGACGGUACCUAACAAGAAAGCACCGGCUAACUACGUGCCAGCAGCCGCGGUAAAACGUAGGGUGCAAGCGUUGUCCGGAAUUACUGGGUGUAAAGGGAGCGCAGGCGGGAAGACAAGUUGGAAGUGAAAACCAUGGGCUCAACCCAUGAAUUGCUUUCAAAACUGUUUUUCUUGAGUAGUGCAGAGGUAGAUGGAAUUCCCGGUGUAGCGGUGGAAUGCGUAGAUAUCGGGAGGAACACCAGUGGCGAAGGCGGUCUACUGGGCACCAACUGACGCUGAGGCUCGAAAGCAUGGGUAGCAAACAGGAUUAGAUACCCUGGUAGUCCAUGCCGUAAACGAUGAUUACU